AAUAUAUUUUACAAUAUGGACUGGUUCCUCUUUCUUGAUAUUUAUGAUAUGACUAAUGCAUAAGCUUCCUUAAAAUUAUGCAAUAUAAAGAUCCGCUUUUGAACAGUUCAUCCGCAGCAUGAGUCAAUAUAAAGGACAAAUUACAGCUUUUAACUCAAAGUUGUCACGUCCUCGCAAUACUUGCUCAUCUUUAAAGUAGCUGUAUUUUUCUUGCAUUAUUGCCAAACAUGGGGACGAUACCGAAAGGCACUGAGUGCAUCAAAACGGUUCCUUUUUUCUUGAAGGUUAUACUGUUGGUUGCGAUUGGCACCCAGGGAAGAAUUUUGGACAAAAUAGACCCUACUUCAGAAAGAAUUCGAUUAGAUUUUGGAAUGUUUGCCGUUGUUGUGUCAUGGAUUGUUGUCGUUAUAAUGGCCGUUCUCUUUGUCAGUGGACUACAUGAAAAAAUUAGCAUCAUUAACUGGCCUUUGACGGUAUUUAUCAACUGUUUGAUAUGCAUAGUCUGUAAUGCUGUUCAUAGCUGGUUGUCUCAUAGCUGAUACUGUUCGCAAGUAUAAUAAGAAUUUUGCGUUCUUUCCUAUUUCAACUUGUGAUAUCCUGGACAGAGGAAACCAUGGUGCAACAUUUGGUCAUCUUAUUGGUGCUACGGUUUGUUGUUUCAUUGCAAGCAUUCUUUUGGCAGUUGAUGCUUUCUUCAACUUCCAGUUGUUUAGAGGCAAAGCCCCUCCAGCUCAAACCUCUGCGUCUGCAACGAAUGCUCAGUAGAACUGCUGAAAAAGUACUUUUUGCAAGCAGUUGUACUAAAUUCCUGUCUAACUUUGUCCAUAUUUUAUAACUUAUCAUUUUCAAAAUGUACUAUUUCAUGUAACGGUAGUACAAGCAUCCUUUCGUGUUUGGUUUUUUUAAAUAAAAUAUCUUCAUUAAA